AUCAGUGCUUAUUUUAGGAUAAUAAGCUUGUCCUUGGGAAACCAUCAAUUUAUGUCGGCAAAGUGGUUUACCCUCCAACGCUGACCUAUAUCAAGAUCAACUCAACGAGAUCUGCAAUAUUUUUAUAGACAUAUGCAUCGACAACCGCCCUUUUAAUGUUUUUAUAAAUAGAAAUGAAGAUGGGGUUGGAGAUCUUGAAUGUUGUGAUGUCGGAGAGACCAAUAGAUUGGGAAGAUAUUAAAUAUGAGCAUGGAGUAAACGAAGUGGCUAUGAAAUAAAUUCCAUGCUCAUUAAUGUUUGGAGUGAAAUCCAUGUGGUAUGGUGAAAAUGGUAAGGUGAGUGUGGUGAAAAAAGGAAAAGAAAAAGGAUACACGGAUGACUUGGUUCGAAACUAGCACAGCUACCAUUCCCCGGCAACGACACUAGAAAGCUUGUUGGGUAUUUUAAACGCAAACAGAAAAAUCCGCAAGCGCACGGAUACCAAUGUAGCUUUCACCCGGGAGUAUUCCAGAGUAUCGAUUUUCCACAGGGAACGUGAGUGAACUAAUUAAGAUUCAAGAUCGCCCAAGGAUAACUAUAUAAUUAUUUUUGGUGGGAAGAGAGGAAGUUUCCUGAGAGUUCUCUAGUUGAUCUAAGAAUCAAGAAUUACUUCGAAGAUUAUUUAUUUCGGGACAUCAGAACACUAACCACAGAAAGAGAUGAGAAGGGGGCU
rnacentral:lncRNA from 1 species